GUGAUUGAAUUAAACAGAUAUGAAGAUUCAUCUUCUAGGUUUUGUUUAAAAGGCCCCGGGUAUUUCAAGAGGCCAUUUUGGAAUUACAGUUUUGUUUUGUUUUUCUUUUCUUUUUUUUUUUUUUUUUGGGUAAUUUUGCCCCAGAAGUUUAUUAAAAUUGACAAGAAUCAUCUCCGAAGUGAAUUGAUAGUAGUGAACAAAUUCAACGAGCUACUAAAGACCCAGUCAUUUCUUCAGUAUUUUGGUUCAAACGGAUUAUAUAAGUGGUUAAAGUAUUUCAUCUGGUGUUAUUUUUGCCUCUUCCCCCCCUUUCCUGUUGGUGUUCUUCAGCCAAAACUGUAAGAUAUGUUUGAUUUGUGUACUGAGUAGUUACAAAUUACUGUUGAAAUAUUGCUGAAGUUUCGUGGCAGUUCUUUUUACCUUUAUUGAAAGUUUUAGUAAUUUUUGACUUCAGCUCUUUUCAUAUUACGAUGGGACAGCUUUUCUAAAUGAAGACAUUGAAAAAAUACAGUGUUUUUCUUUUUAUCUUUUAUUUACUUGGGAAUGUAAGAUGUUCCAGUUUCACACCAGCAUGGUAGUAUUGAGAUAGCUAUUUGUGUCUCUGUACAUGCUGAUGUUUAGAAGUAAUCUUCAGAUGUGAAAUUUUCUUUUUGUUUCUGCUUUUUGCACAUAAAUUGGAUAUUUCAUCUGGAGUGGAUAAGUACAGUGACAAAUACAUGGAAUAGUAAAGAAGACCUUGCUCUUGAAUCCAAGGAACCUUGGCUAAUUCUGGAUAUAGCCAUAUGAAAACUUCAAAACAAAUAUGGGUAGCUGACUUCAAAUAACUCUAUGUCAAAUAGUCAUAGGUUAAGUAUCUUCAAAGAACUUGGAUAUUUCAGAGGAUACAAAAUAAAAAAACAAACUGGAAAACAUAAAGCUUAUAGAGAAAAAAACAACACCUUCCUGUGCAGUCCUCUUGGAAUUUCAUCUGGUUGGCCUGCAAACAAGAUAUGUCAUCAGACCUGGAAUUUGUGGCAGUCCCUCUCUGAAUUUUGGGAUUAUAGGUGUGGAUCACCGUGCCUGGCCCUAUCUAGGUAAUCUUAAAUGCCCAGCCCAUAUUUUCAUAUCAUGUAACCAUCCUUUUGAAUUCUUCACAUGUUAAACUGUGUUCUUAUUUACACUUACAAGGCAACCACAAGUCAGUGUGGUUUUUUGUUUUGUUUUGUUUUGUUUUUUUUCUUAGUCCUGGAGAUUGAACCUGGGGCUGGAGGUGGGGUCUCAGAUAUGCUAGGCAAGCACAACACUACCAUUGAGCUACAGCUUUUGUCUUUUGAGGGGAGUCUUCUGCAUGCAAGGCAAAUUGUCUGCCUUACUUUCUACUCUUUUUUCCUGUUCAUUUUUGUCUCAGUAAAUGACUUCCUGAUCUACUUUAUCAAACUGAAACACCUGGGAAUCAUCUUUGGCUUCCAUUCCCCAUGGACUCUAUUAGCAAUUCUAUUUGUUCCACUUCAAAUCUCUUAUGUCCUUUUCUAUCGAAUUGCUUCUACACUUGUUGAAUACACACCUUAUUUUCAUUUGACUGACUGCAUUAGCCUCCUUUCUUUACCAUUUGUAUUGUAUAGCUAAUUCACAGCAUAAUAAUACUUUAGAAGUACUAAUAAUUGGGACUAUAGAGAUGGCUUAGAGGUGGACUUUUGCAGAGGACUUAAGUUUGGUUGCAACUACCCUAGGUACCUCUAUUUUCUGGGUACCUGUGUUGAACAUGGUGGUGGACACACACAAUUAAAAACAAAGAAGGCAAAUUUUUUGCUUAAAAGCCUUCAGUGUCUUGUUUUUUGGAACUAAACAUACUAUUAUGUAAAUCUUUACAUUUUUUAUUUUCUCUUGCAACUUUGUGGUCUUAGUUUUCAUAGGCCUCUAGUUAUCUUUUUUUCCCCUUGGAAAACACCAGUUACCUUGCCUUUAGGUUGUCUCUUCAGUAGUUUUUCAUUAGCCCAUCUACCUCUGCUCCCUUUCUCUCCAUUUUCUUUCCUUACAGGGAGAGGACUGACUUGGAAACUCUUGGGCUCCAGGGAUCACCCUACUUUAGUCUCAACAAGUUGUGGCUGUUUUUGUGCAGUAUUGCACCUGACGAGUUCAGUUGUAACUCCGACGUUACCUGAUAAGAUAGAUUUUCUCUGACUAUCCUUUGUCUGACUACUGUAUAUAGUGAUCAACUUGCUUUCUAUAUUCUUACAUUUCUUUUAGUCCAUAUGAUGUUCUAUCUAGUUCAUCAGAGCCUGAAAUCGCCAUUUUUUUCCCCCUCCUGAGAUAGGGCUUCUUUGUAUUGUUUUGGAGUCUAUCCUGGCACUCGCUUUGUAGACCAGGCUGGCCUCGAACUCACAGAGAACCACCUGCCCCUGCUUCCAGAGUGCUGGGAUUAAAGGUGUGAGUCACCAAUGCCUGGCCACCACUUAAUUUCUUAAGCCCAUCUUCAUGUAAACUAGGAGGGCAAGGUGCUUUUCUCGUUUUUUACUGUUUCACAGUAUUAUUGAAAGUCAGAAUUACUCACAUUAUAGAUAAUUUAUCCUUUUUUGAGGUUUAAAUUUGGUGUAUUAACUGCUUGGAGACUAGUGAAACUUGUUUGUAAAGGGUUACUUAUAGCUUGAUUGACUUAUUUGAUCAUUUAGAAGUUGUUUUAUUUGCUUAGAUUUAUGUGUUGAAUGAACUUCUAAUUUACCUGAUAAAUACUUAGCUACUGUGAGGCUUUUUUUCUUUUUCUUUUUCAAGACAGGUUUUCUCUGUAUAGCUCUGGAGACCAGGCUAGCCUCGAAUUCACAGAGAUCUGCCUGCCUCUGCCUCCCAGUGCUGGGAUUAAAGGCGUGCGCCACCAACGCCCGGCUACUGUGAGGCUUUUAAGUUUUUUUUCUCUAAUUUUGAAUUGAGCCAUAAGGAUCAAACAAAGGUAUUUUGCUAUUAGUCUCUAUAAUUUAAAACCGGAAUCCACUUAUUUCCAAGUCUUUAAAAUGGAAUGGUAAGCACAAUUUCCAGCUAAGAAUUUUUGAGACUUAGGGAGGCUGACAUUUUUUUGUGUGUGUGUGUGUACAUGGUAUGUGUGUAUAGAAGUUGGAAGAAAAGUAUGUUCUCUCCUUCUACAUUUUUUGUGGCUUCUGAAAAAUGAACUUGAAUCUCUAAGCUUAUAUAGCAAGUGGCUUUUCUUUUUUUUUUUUUUUUUUAAACCUGUUUUACCACCUGGGUAGCCCAGCUAUGACUGUUUAUACCAAAUACUGUCUCUUGUAUUGAUUUAAUGAUUUAAUUGAUAGGAAGGAAUGGAAGAAGGUAAUGCAGAUUUGUGACAGCCGGUCUUGCCCCGCCUCCCCCCUCCAAUGGUUUCUCUGUAGCCAUGGC
ensembl:lncRNA